rnacentral:rRNA from 1 species
GGUUAAGCGACUAAGCGUACACGGUGGAUGCCCUGGCAGUCAGAGGCGAUGAAGGACGUGCUAAUCUGCGAUAAGCGCCGGUAAGGUGAUAUGAACCGUUAUAACCGGCGAUUUCCGAAUGGGGAAACCCAGUGUGAUUCGUCACACUAUCAUUAACUGAAUCCAUAGGUUAAUGAGGCGAACCGGGGGAACUGAAACAUCUAAGUACCCCGAGGAAAAGAAAUCAACCGAGAUUCCCCCAGUAGCGGCGAGCGAACGGGGAGGAGCCCAGAGCCUGAAUCAGCAUGUGUGUUAGUGGAAGCGUCUGGAAAGGCGCGCGAUACAGGGUGACAGCCCCGUACACAAAAGCGCAUGUGCUGUGAGCUCGAUGAGUAGGGCGGGACACGUGGUAUCCUGUCUGAAUAUGGGGGGACCAUCCUCCAAGGCUAAAUACUCCUGACUGACCGAUAGUGAACCAGUACCGUGAGGGAAAGGCGAAAAGAACCCCGGCGAGGGGAGUGAAAAAGAACCUGAAACCGUGUACGUACAAGCAGUGGGAGCCCCACCACUAAGCCAGUGGUGAACUCCACAUACGCAUCCUUUGCUGAGGAUACGGUUAACGGAGCGAAAGCGACGUUCAACCUCAAAAGAAGCAGAGGGGGCUUAGUGGUGGGGUGACUGCGUACCUUUUGUAUAAUGGGUCAGCGACUUAUAUUCUGUAGCAAGGUUAACCGAAUAGGGGAGCCGGAGGGAAACCGAGUCUUAACCGGGCGUUAAGUUGCAGGGUAUAGACCCGAAACCCGGUGAUCUAGCCAUGGGCAGGUUGAAGGUUGGGUAACACUAACUGGAGGACCGAACCGACUAAUGUUGAAAAAUUAGCGGAUGACCUGUGGCUGGGGGUGAAAGGCCAAUCAAACCGGGAGAUAGCUGGUUCUCCCCGAAAGCUAUUUAGGUAGCGCCUCGUGAAUUCAUCUCCGGGGGUAGAGCACUGUUUCGGCUAGGGGGCCAUCCCGGCUUACCAACCCGAUGCAAACUGCGAAUACCGGAGAAUGUUAUCACGGGAGACACACGGCGGGUGCUAACGUCCGUCGUGAAGAGGGAAACAACCCAGACCGCCAGCUAAGGUCCCAAAGUCAUGGUUAAGUGGGAAACGAUGUGGGAAGGCCCAGACAGCCAGGAUGUUGGCUUAGAAGCAGCCAUCAUUUAAAGAAAGCGUAAUAGCUCACUGGUCGAGUCGGCCUGCGCGGAAGAUGUAACGGGGCUAAACCAUGCACCGAAGCUGCGGCAGCGACGCUUAUGCGUUGUUGGGUAGGGGAGCGUUCUGUAAGCCUGUGAAGGUGGCCUGUGAGGGUUGCUGGAGGUAUCAGAAGUGCGAAUGCUGACAUAAGUAACGAUAAAGCGGGUGAAAAGCCCGCUCGCCGGAAGACCAAGGGUUCCUGUCCAACGUUAAUCGGGGCAGGGGUGAGUCGACCCCUAAGGCGAGGCCGAAAGGCGUAGUCGAUGGGAAACGGGUUAAUAUUCCCGUACUUGGUGUUACUGCGAAGGGGGGACGGAGAAGGCUAUGUUGGCCGGGCGACGGUUGUCCCGGUUUAAGCGUGUAGGUGUGUGUUCCAGGUAAAUCCGGUUCACUUUAACACUGAGGCGUGACGACGAGGCACUACGGUGCUGAAGCAACAAAUGCCCUGCUUCCAGGAAAAGCCUCUAAGCAUCAGGUAACAUCAAAUCGUACCCCAAACCGACACAGGUGGUCAGGUAGAGAAUACCAAGGCGCUUGAGAGAACUCGGGUGAAGGAACUAGGCAAAAUGGUGCCGUAACUUCGGGAGAAGGCACGCUGACACGUAGGUGAAGUGAUUUACUCACGGAGCUGAAGUCAGUCGAAGAUACCAGCUGGCUGCAACUGUUUAUUAAAAACACAGCACUGUGCAAACACGAAAGUGGACGUAUACGGUGUGACGCCUGCCCGGUGCCGGAAGGUUAAUUGAUGGGGUCAGCGCAAGCGAAGCUCCUGAUCGAAGCCCCGGUAAACGGCGGCCGUAACUAUAACGGUCCUAAGGUAGCGAAAUUCCUUGUCGGGUAAGUUCCGACCUGCACGAAUGGCGUAAUGAUGGCCAGGCUGUCUCCACCCGAGACUCAGUGAAAUUGAACUCGCUGUGAAGAUGCAGUGUACCCGCGGCAAGACGGAAAGACCCCGUGAACCUUUACUAUAGCUUGACACUGAACAUUGAGCCUUGAUGUGUAGGAUAGGUGGGAGGCUUUGAAGUGUGGACGCCAGUCUGCAUGGAGCCGACCUUGAAAUACCACCCUUUAAUGUUUGAUGUUCUAACGUGGACCCGUAAUCCGGGUUGCGGACAGUGUCUGGUGGGUAGUUUGACUGGGGCGGUCUCCUCCUAAAGAGUAACGGAGGAGCACGAAGGUUGGCUAAUCCUGGUCGGACAUCAGGAGGUUAGUGCAAUGGCAUAAGCCAGCUUGACUGCGAGCGUGACGGCGCGAGCAGGUGCGAAAGCAGGUCAUAGUGAUCCGGUGGUUCUGAAUGGAAGGGCCAUCGCUCAACGGAUAAAAGGUACUCCGGGGAUAACAGGCUGAUACCGCCCAAGAGUUCAUAUCGACGGCGGUGUUUGGCACCUCGAUGUCGGCUCAUCACAUCCUGGGGCUGAAGUAGGUCCCAAGGGUAUGGCUGUUCGCCAUUUAAAGUGGUACGCGAGCUGGGUUUAGAACGUCGUGAGACAGUUCGGUCCCUAUCUGCCGUGGGCGCUGGAGAACUGAGGGGGGCUGCUCCUAGUACGAGAGGACCGGAGUGGACGCAUCACUGGUGUUCGGGUUGUCAUGCCAAUGGCACUGCCCGGUAGCUAAAUGCGGAAGAGAUAAGUGCUGAAAGCAUCUAAGCACGAAACUUGCCCCGAGAUGAGUUCUCCCUGAGACUUUAGGUCUCCUGAAGGAACGUUGAAGACGACGACGUUGAUAGGCCGGGUGUGUAAGCGCAGCGAUGCGUUGAGCUAACCGGUACUAAUGAACCGUGAGGCUUAACCUU